UACAGAGGGUGCAAGCGUUGUUCGGAAUCAUUGGGCGUAAAGCGCACGUAGGCGGCUUUGCAAGUCAGGUGUGAAAGCCUGGGGCUCGACCCCAGAAGUGCACUUGAAACUGCAGAGCUUGAGUCUUGGAGAGGGCAGUGGAAUUCCGAGUGUAGAGGUGAAAUUCGUAGAUAUUCGGAGGAACACCAGUGGCGAAGGCGACUGCCUGGACAAAGACUGACGCUGAGGUGCGAAAGCGUGGGGAGCAAACAGG
rnacentral:rRNA from 1 species